rnacentral:lncRNA from 1 species
CAAAUUUCGAUUUUCAAAGAUUUGAAUUGGAAAAUAUGAUUUUAUAUUGGAAAAUGUCAACUGUAAAAAAUAUAAAGGUUUUGGAAAACGUCAAACUUUGACAUAUAAGAAAAAUUGCCCUUUCUACCUACACUUUAAGGCAUCGGAGGAUGGGCAAGCAUUAAUCUUGCAAGAAUUGAACAUUACACAUAAUCACGAAGUAUCUGAAAUUUUUUAUAAACACUUACCUAAUCAUAGAAGACUACCUGAUUAUGCUAUUGCUAAAGCAGAAACCUUGUUAAGUUUGAAAGCUAACAAAAAAUUACUUCAACGAGAAUUGUUAAAUGAGACUGGGAAAAAGAUAACGCUCCGAGAUCAAAUAUUGCUGCUUCUGCACACAAAAGUGACACCCGAAAUGAUUUAACAGCCUUUAUUACAACUUUAAAGGAAAAUACAGAAAUUGAAGUAUGGUUUAAUGGAAACAAGAACUGUGACAAUCUCUCAGUAAAACAGGACAAAGUAUGUCUUUUGCAAUAACGUGCUUAUCAAAUAAUUUAUAAAAUGUAAGUAUGAAUUUGUGAUCUUGUGAUCCAUUCUCUGUUAUCAAAAUCAAUAAGUUUGAAAUACUUCGAACAGUAUUUAUGGAGCCAUUUGUCUAGUAUUUCCUUACGUAUCAAAUAUUACAUGGCAGGUGCAUUUUUCAUCUAAGUAAUAGAUUAAGCAGUGAAAAUUUGUUUGAAAUUUCAAAAUAUAAAUUACAUUUCUUGUCUUAAAAUAUAUCUAUUUUUAAAUUUGUCAUUUUUUUGACAAUAUUCACUUAUACUAAUGAGUGCUUAUAGAAAUAAAAUUUAAAAAAAUAGGUUUUAAUAUCUAGUACUAUACAGCAUAAUAUAAUAACCUAAAGUUUAAAGUUAUUUUUAGUAUAAUGUACCAGAUAACGACCUCAAUGGAUUUUUUAUAAGACAUUCACGAUAAUAUCAAAUCAAUUUUUGACAGUUUUCAUUACGCCCAUCAUAUACUAAUCCGCUAGCUGAACCAUUAACACCAUAGUUAACAAACUGUGGUGUUUCAUUGAACUGGUCUGUCAAUUUGAACAGUCCAAUUUGAACCAGUUACUUCUUGAUUGUCUUCAAUCAUGAUGUCACAAAUCACUGAUUCUUUUGCAAGAUCAUCUAAAACAUAAUAAACAUUCUUUAAAAUUUUUCUUGAAAAACUAAAUUGGAACAAAUUUCAUAUUUUUAAAUCUAUAUUAGCAUUUCUGACUUAUUUUAAUGAAGUCAUUUAAUCUAAUUCCAAAUCCCAGUAAAAACACUGUUUACUUUUAUUAUUGACAUAUUUGUCAUUGCCUAAAUUAGAGCAGGCCAUUUCACGGGUACAAUCAGUAUUAUAAAACAGUAUUAUAUAAUCAAUUUACAUGAUAGAGCACUGUACUUAUUUUUGAUGUUCUUUUUUCUGUAAAUUUGUUUUAAGCUGACAUGGACACAGAAACUUACACUUUCUAUAUUGAAUAAUACAAUAGAAAAUUUUUAACUUUUUUACAAACAAGUUUUCCAAAGCAAUAAACUUUCUUCUUCCUUUUAUCUUUUUGUUAGCAUGAUCUUGAAUUUUUUACACAUCCAUAAUAAGAUUUUUUAGUUUUUUUCUGUUCAUACCUUAGUAAUUUCAAUUUUUACAUCGCACAUACUCAACCUUAAUAUCUUCUUCUUUAGUGGUUAGUAUCGUUACGUGUUUUAUUUCAUUUCCUGUAAAAAUAGGUUAUCUAAUUGCUUAUCAAUCACAAUUUUGUUUUAUAUUAACGUAAACUGACCUGCAGAACAUCCUUGUUUUCCAUUAAUUUGGCACCAUUAUACAGCUUUGUUUAACUGUUUGUUUCUUUUAUCUCGGAUAGAUUGCAUUACAGUUGCUUCAGAUUUAUUCCUUGACUUUUUAAAUACAGAGUUUGCAUUUGCAGCUACACUUAAGCUAUAUUGUUGUUUCAUUAUUUUAUUUUUUUUUGUAAUUAAAAAAUUUUAAACUAUUAAAACAAUUACUGUACAAAUAAAGAUAUAAAAUAAACACAAAACAGGAAUUUUCUUAUUCUUAAAUCUUUUUUUGAAGUUGCAAAACAAGAAGUAGGUGUUAAAAGAAAUUGAUCUGUUAUAUGAGUUACUACUACCUUUCAAAAUAAAAUUUAAGAUAUAAAGAAAAGAAAAAAAUACAGUUAUAAAAAAAUACAUUAAUGAAAUAGUUUUAGAAAAAGAGUUUUUUAAUGCUCAUUACAAAAAGCGUUAUUUGGGUUAUUUCAUGACUUUUCUAAUUAUUUCAAAAAAUCAUUAAAUAAUUCCAGAUUUCUUUCUAUUAUAAGAUACCUAUACUAGGCAGAUAAUACUAUGCAAAAUAUCUCCCCAAUUGAGUUAAUCUUUAAGGAGACAUCAACAAUAAUAAUAUUGUCUUUUUAAGGGCACCUUGCCUAAAAUAGACAAAUUUCAAAUACAAAUAAAAACAUUAAAAGUUUAAUUACUGUUUUCAACCGCCAGGAUGGAUCGAUAUGGCUUUAUACAAAAUAAAAAAAAAUGAAUUUAAAAAAAAUAGGCUUUCCCAAUAUAUUUUAAGCGAUUUUAAAUUUGUUGUCUUUUUUAAGGGCAAUAUACCUGUAAAAUUAAAAAAAAGUUAUUUUUUUUAAGUUUACCUGUCUGAGACUUUUCCGAGUCUCAAACAGGUAGUACAGUGAAGAAAAGGAUUCUACAUUGUUCUAGGUAAUAUUUUGAAGAAUAUUGGUGAGAAUAAGAAGUCGAUAAUAUGUUGAGACUUAAAUUGGUUUGUUGGUGUGGCUUCAGAUGGUUUUGAGGCAUAGUGGAAAAGGAUUUAGCAUCAGAAAUGCUGAAGGAGAGAUGUUGUUCGAAUUUUCUGAUACUACGGGAUUGACAGUCUGUAAUAUAUGGUUUACAAAAAAGGAUUAACAUAAAAUAAUUUAUGAGUCUAAUGGUUUUGAGACACAAGUGGAAUAAAUCUUAAUCAGAAAGCAACAUGGAAAAUAGGCAAGCAACAUAAGAAUAAUACCAAGUGAGGCUUGUAUUCCACAGCACAAAUAAAUUAUUUGUGACAUGUUGGUGGAAAAUUUGAAGAAAAAACAUCUUUGUGAUUGCAGAAUUUGGAAAUUUAAAGAAGAUGAAAUGUGUAAACAUUUUGAAAAAAAAAUUAAAGCAAGAAAGCAAAUCAGAUCAAAAAGAAACGUGGAAAGUAAAAAACAUGAAGAAAUGCCUUGUUGUUGUAUCUGAUGAAGUAUGUGGAAAGAAAAAGUGAUCUUCAAUGCCACAAAAAAUCCUAGUGGUGGAAUGAAAAAGUGGCUAAAGUUAGAUCAGAAAAGAGGAUAUUUCAUAACAUCCGGAAAAAGUCUGGAAAUGAAGAUGAUAGGCUACUUUCUGUGGCAGAGCGCAAGUCAAAAAAAAAAAAGCCAUAUACAAAGCUCAAUUAGAUGAGGAAAACUAAUUAAGUAAGAUGCUAAUAUGCUAAUAUUAUAUAAAAUAUUUUUAAAAAUUGCAAAAUAAAGAGUUAGGAUAAAAAAAGGCUCUGCUGUGUCUGCAGUGAAUAAGGUUAGUGAGCCAGCAGAGCAGAUAACAUGAGUGAAGUGAAUUACCUAUUAAGAAGGCUCAAUUAGGUAAGGCUGCUGGUUCUUCUGGUGUAUUGGCAGAGGUGUUGAAAGCUUCAGGUGAUGUAGGUUUUCAUUGGGUUCUGAUCUUUACAAUCCGAUUGUAUAUGAAGGUAAAAUCCCAAAUAAUUAGAAGAAGCGUUGGAUGGUUAAGAUUCACAAGGAAGGCGGAGACGCAUUAGAAUGUGAUUCUUAUAGAGGAAUCAAAUUGCUAGACCAGGCAAUUUGAUUCCUCUAUUUAUUUCCUCAUUAUUUUGUUUUCAAUAAUUUUUAAAUUAUUGAAAACAAAAUAAUGAGCAGUGUAUUUAUCAAUAACAUUCAGUUGGUUUGAGGCCUGGAAAAGGAAUGACAGAUGUCGUUUUUAUUGUAAGGCCAGUUUAAAAAAGAUUUUUGGAAAAGAAAAAAGAUCUGUGGAUAGCAUUUAUUGACCUAGAUUUUGACAGAGUUCCAAUUGAGGUGGUGUGGUGGGUUUUAAGGUGUUUAGGUAUUGAAGAAUGGCUAGUCACUUUCUAGUGUUAUGAUGUAUGGCAGUGAAACAUGGGCAAUAAAGGUUGAUGAUGUUCAGCGUUUAGAAAAGACAAAAAGUAUGAUGAUUAGAUGGAUGUGUAGUGUGAUUCUAAAAGACCAGAUAAGCAGUGGUGAUCUAAAAAAUAGAAAAUUAUUAAAAUAUUUCUCAUUCCUCUAUGUAUUUAUACAUAUAUAUUUAAUUUAUUUGUAUAAUUAUAGUUUAUUUUCUUAUCAGUAUAUAAUACAAAAUGUAUUUUAAAUGCUAAUGUUGAAGUUUUGACAGAUACAGAAGAUAAUUUGCUAGGGCUUUUUUUUCAAGAUUUUUUUAUGCACAGUGCCUACAACGCAUAUCCUGAGUUUUUAUGUAUGGAUGCGACAUAUGAAUUGUUAGAAAUUCGACUGCCUGUUUAUAUUCUGCUAUGCGAAGAUGGAGCUGGUGAAAGUGAAAUAGCUGCUGUAGGUUUGCUCACGCAUGAGGAUGCUGCGUCUCUUAGCUCCACAAACACAAAAAGCUGGAAAAAAGAUUCUAUAAUGGAGUUAUGCGCACGUUGACAAUUGUAUACAUGGUUAUCAAACCUAUCUGUUGAUUGCCCAGUUCUACAACUAGAAAUGUGCCCAUUAGUGCGAAGUCGUAGGUUAUUUGUUUUUCCGGUGUAUGUAGCUUUCUUGUUACAUGACAAACAUUUUAAAUAAUAUAUUACAUUUUUACUAUUACAA